rnacentral:rRNA from 1 species
UCCGGCUAACUUCGUGCCAGCAGCCGCGGUAAUACGAAGGGACCUAGCGUAGUUCGGAAUUACUGGGCUUAAAGAGUUCGUAGGUGGUUGAAAAAGUUGGUGGUGAAAUCCCAGAGCUUAACUCUGGAACUGCCAUCAAAACUUUUCAGCUAGAGUAUGAUAGAGGAAAGCAGAAUUUCUAGUGUAGAGGUGAAAUUCGUAGAUAUUAGAAAGAAUACCAAUUGCGAAGGCAGCUUUCUGGAUCAUUACUGACACUGAGGAACGAAAGCAUGGGUAGCGAAGAGGAUUAGAUACCCUCGUAGUCCAUGCCGUAAACGAUGUGUGUUAGACGUUGGAAAUUUAUUUUCAGUGUCGCAGCGAAAGCGAUAAACACACCGCCUGGGGAGUACGACCGCAAGGUUAAAACUCAAAUGAAUUGACGGGGACCCGCACAAGUAGUGGAGCAUGUGGUUUAAUUCGAAGAUACGCGCAGAACCUUACCAACACUUGACAUGUUCGUCGCGACUCUAAGAGAUUAGAGUUUUCGGUUCGGCCGGACGAAACACAGGUGCUGCAUGGCUGUCGUCAGCUCGUGUCGUGAGAUGUUGGGUUAAGUCCCGCAACGAGCGCAACCCUCACUUUUAGUUGCCAUCAUUAAGUUGGGCACUCUGAAAGAACUGCCAGUGAUAAGCUGGAGGAAGGUGGGGAUGACGUCAAGUCCUCAUGGCCCUUACGUGUUGGGCUACACACGUGCUACAAUGGUACCUACAACAGGAAGCAAAACGGCAACGUUAAGCAAAUCCCGAAAAGAUACCUCAGUUCGGAUUGCACUCUGCAACUCGAGUGCAUGAAGCUGGAAUUACUAGUAAUCGUGGAUCAGCGUGCCACGGUGAAUGCGUUCCCGGGUCUUGUACACACCGCCCGUCACACCAUGGGAGUUGGUUCUACCUUAAGGCAAGGUUUUAAACCCUUGACCACGGUAUAGUCAGCGACUGGGGUG